GGCGGCAGGCCUAACACAUGCAAGUCGAGCGGUAGAGAGAAGCUUGCUUCUCUUGAGAGCGGCGGACGGGUGAGUAAUGCCUAGGAAUCUGCCUGGUAGUGGGGGAUAACGCUCGGAAACGGACGCUAAUACCGCAUACGUCCUACGGGAGAAAGCAGGGGACCUUCGGGCCUUGCGCUAUCAGAUGAGCCUAGGUCGGAUUAGCUAGUUGGUGAGGUAAUGGCUCACCAAGGCGACGAUCCGUAACUGGUCUGAGAGGAUGAUCAGUCACACUGGAACUGAGACACGGUCCAGACUCCUACGGGAGGCAGCAGUGGGGAAUAUUGGACAAUGGGCGAAAGCCUGAUCCAGCCAUGCCGCGUGUGUGAAGAAGGUCUUCGGAUUGUAAAGCACUUUAAGUUGGGAGGAAGGGCAGUAAAUUAAUACUUUGCUGUUUUGACGUUACCGACAGAAUAAGCACCGGCUAACUCUGUGCCAGCAGCCGCGGUAAUACAGAGG
rnacentral:rRNA from 1 species